rnacentral:rRNA from 1 species
CGAAGGUGGCAAGCGUUGUUCGGAUUUACUGGGCGUACAGGGAGCGUAGGCGGAUGGAUAAGCCCUCCGUGAAAUCUCCAGGCUUAACCUGGAAAGUGCAGAGGGGACUGUUCAGCUAGAGGAUGGGAGAGGAGCGCGGAAUUCCCGGUGUAGCGGUGAAAUGCGUAGAGAUCGGGAGGAAGGCCGGUGGCGAAGGCGGCGCUCUGGAACAUUUCUGACGCUGAGGCUCGAAAGCGUGGGGAGCAAACAGGAUUAGAUACCCUGGUAGUCCACGCCUUAAACGAUGGAUACUAAGUGUCGGCGGGUUACCGCCGGUGCCGCAGCUAACGCAGUAAGUAUCCCGCCUGGGAAGUACGGCCGCAAGGUUG